UCGCUCAAAGGAUAAAAGGUACUCCGGGGAUAACAGGCUGAUCUCCCCCAAGAGCUCAUAUCGACGGGGAGGUUUGGCACCUCGAUGUCGGUUCGUCACAUCCUGGGGCUGGAGAAGGUCCCAAGGGUUCGGCUGUUCGCCGAUUAAAGUGGCACGUGAACUGGGUUCAGAACGUCGCAAGACAGUUCGGUCUCUAUCUGUGGUGGGCGUUAGUAAAUUGCGAGGACAUGCUCUUAGUACGAGAGGACCGGAGCGUAUGUACCGCUGGUGUAUCUGUUGUGCCGCCAGGUGCAGUGCAGAGUAGCUAUGUACAGACAGGAUAAGCGCUGAAAGCAUCUAAGCGCGAAACCUUCCUCAAGAUGAGUUUACUUUUAAGUGCCGUCAAAGACUAUGACGUUGAUAGGCUAUAGGUAUACAGGUGGUAACAUCAAAGCCGAGUAGUACUAAUUGCACGUAAGCUUUAUAAA
rnacentral:rRNA from 1 species